rnacentral:rRNA from 2 species
UACGGAGGAUCCAAGCGUUAUCCGGAUUUAUUGGGUUUAAAGGGUGCGUAGGUGGGAUAAUAAGUCAGAGGUGAAAGCUAGCAGCUUAACUGUUAAAUUGCCUUUGAUACUGUUAUUCUUGAGUAUAGUUGGCGUUGGCGGAAUGUGACAUGUAGCGGUGAAAUGCGUAGAUAUGUCACAGAACACCGAUCGCGAAGGCAGCUAACGAAACUAUCACUGACACUGAUGCACGAAAGCGUGGGGAGCAAACAGG